rnacentral:lncRNA from 1 species
UUUUUUUUUUUUCAAAUUGAGGGAGGAAAGUCACAUUUUCCCUCCAAUGAGAGUGGGAGGCACAAUAGAAAAUCUCUCUAGAGCCGAUCAAUAGUUAUGGGAUUUACCUACUCUUCCCACAAAGAGGCACAUCGUCGUGGUCCUGUGAGGUCUCCCAAACCUUCACGCCCUUCCCCGUGAUAAAAGUUUAGCCACAUUGCAAGAAGUGACCACAGAGGAGAUGAUGAAACAUCUCAUUGGCUAAGCUGAAGUGGCAUUGGCAAGUAGUUUUUUUGAGGGCUGUUCCAAAACAAAUAAUGAACCGUGUAUUAAAAUAAACAAAGUCAUAAAAAUGUCAGGAGGCAUGCCAGAAUAAUAAUGACUUCCCAGUGUGAGAGGAAAUUCAAAGAAGGAUAAUGAAACUCCUUCCCAAAUGAAAGCAGCUGGCUCUGACCGUCCUCAUGGAUUUUCCAUUUCCCUCCUGCUUAAGCAGCUUUUUUGGUGCUGGCACUUUAGAAGACCUCAUUGAUGGCACAUGAGGGGAAAGAAAUUAAUGUUUUAAAAAAAAUGUUUAAAAAUUUAAAAAAAAAUCACUGUCAGCUACCGUUUGGCUCUCUUAUAGUAGUUGGUGUGGGUAUGGAAUGAUUAAUAUGACAGCCACCUUCUGCUAUGAUUUCUUGGACCUAGAACACCCUGACCCACCCAUUGAGAGAAGCCACUGACAGGACUUCCACCAUUUGAGACCAUUUAGUCAAGCACUGAUGAUUUCUGAAAACUAGGUAGCUUUGUUGCUUAUCAAAAGCACUUAUGGACCUAUUCAGCAAUAUAAAGCACUGAAGCAGUAGUGCCAACGAUUCUGGAAUUUUCCCAAACCCUCGGUGAUUCUAAAGAAAGGAAACUUGUAGAUUCUAUCCAUAACAUCAAAUUAAAAGCCACUGAAUACCAUGGCUCUCUCUACGUUAUUUGAUCUACCAGCAAAGGCUCUGCAAAUUCUGGCUCUACCCUAACUUUUUGGCCAUAUUUCUUUAGCUUUUAUUAUUUUCCUGCCAUGGUCUGAAUGUGUGUGUUCCCUAAAAAUUCAUAUGCCAAAAUCCUAACCCCCAAUGUGAUGGUAUUUGGAGAUGGGCCCUUUAGAGGUGAUUAAGUCAUGAAGGUGGGGUGCUCUUAAGUAGGAUUAGUGCCCUCAUUAAAGUCAUCCCACAGGACUCCCUAGCUCCUUCUAGAUGAGGAGACAGCAGGAAGGCCCCAGCUGUGAAUCAGGACGAGGGCUUUCACCAGACACCGAAUCUUCCAGCUUUUCUUAUCUUGGACUUUCCAGGUUCCAGUACUGUGAGAAAUAAAUUUCUGUUGUUUAUAAGCCCCUUGGUUUAUGCUAUUUUUGUUAUGCCAACCCAACUGGGCCAAGCCAUUCCUUUAUACCUUUCUCUUCAGGCAAACCAUAGCACCCAUUUCACCUCAUCCCCAUUGGCCUAUGCUUUCCUGCAUCUAGGCUAUUUCUUACACUACCCCCAUCUCGACUAUAUUGUGUCCUUCUAAUGUAUCCAUUAAAAAUAUAUAUAGAUGCACUGACCUAGAAAUUCCACAUUGAGACAUUCAUCAUUAAGCUAAUGAAUUCAUUUCAAGGAUUUCUUUCAGCAUGUUCAUAAUAGAAAAAAAAAAAAAAACCCUUCCAAAUUCCCAAAAUUAUAGGAUAGGUUAUAUAAAUCAUAAUACAUUUAUAUAUGACAUAGUAUACAGAUAAUAAAAAAUGAUGCUAUAUAUUAAUACUGAUACCCAUAAAUACCAUCCAUGGUAUGUUGUUUGGUGGAAAACCUAUCAUAUUCAAAAUGUUUGUUUUUAUAAAAAAUAAGCAUCUGAUUAUGUAUAUAUAUUCACUUAUCACUGCAUCUAUGUUUAAAAAUCCAUAUUCACAAUUAUAUCAAGGAAGAGUCUGAAUAUACACCUACGUAUACUUGUGGUUUAUGGAUCACGGAAUUAUUUUACAUGUAUCUGUGUGUGUACGUUUACGUUUAUAUGUACUUUAUAAUCUUAUCAAAACUAAACACUGGUUGUCUUGGUAUUGACAACUAAAAAAAAUGUUCAACCUAAAAGUUGAGAAUUACGUUGUAUUUGACAGACCUUCUGAGGACUUCAAGCCUGGGAAGCAGCCUCUCAGACAGCUCCGCCUGCUCCAAAAGAGGUAAAGGAGAAGCCAGAAUAUAUAGGAAUUUUACAACAAAAAAACAGGUAAUCAGAACAUCAAAAAAUGUACUGUAAAUUAAAGAAAACCAGACAUUGCAAGUUAAUGAAUGUAGCACUUGUCUUUGUAUGGGAAGAUGCAAGAGUCUGGGCUCAUUAAAUCAUUCCUUAGCUAUGUACCUUAGCUGUUUAGGGCCAGUAUCUUCUUCUUUCCCAUCCUGAUUCCCCUCAGAGUGCACCGCUAGGGGUGGCUGCAGUGGCUGAGGGCUUGAUGGCUGCAGCAUCCUUUGCUGACAUGGUAGGCAACGUUUUUAAUCCACAGUAUCAAAAAUAAUUUCGUUGUGUGCCAUCUUCCAACUUCAGCUCAAAUGCUCUACUCUACACAGUUUUUCUUGAAAUCUCAUCAGCAAGUCUUUUUUUCUCAGUCGUAUCUAUAUCAAUUUUAUGUUGUUUAAACUCCAGCCUGGGUUAAAAACAGCUGUAUAUUAUUAGAAUAUAAACUACAUGAGCGUAGGAGUCCUUUUCCUUCAUCCUUGAAGGCAAGCUUGUAGCAAGUGUUCAACAAAUAUUUUUAUACUAAUCAAUAUGAUUUGCCUAAUCAGUAAUUAAAAAUUGGAUAGCACACCAGAAUCACUUGGAAUGUACCUCUUAAAAGUACAGAGUCCUUGGUCCACCCAUUCUGUGGUCAAUGCAGCCAGCCUGGCUUUUAGGUCAGUAGUGGAGGGCUGCAGUCCAAAGUCUACUCCAACAAUGCCCUUGGUUUAAUCCAAGCAUUUCUCCUUCCGCCAGGCAUGCUCCUUCUGUCCCAACAUAUUUGGGUUGUUAAUGUCCUGAAUUAAUUCCUGCUCUUGAAAAAAAGUAUAGAAACAAUCCUAACUGAUCAGACUUCAUAAAUGAAGUGCCAGGAAGAUUGAAAAUGUUUAAUAAAUGUUUGCUGGAGAAUGGCUAUGUUCUCCUGUCAUGUUCCUAACCUUCAGAGCUGGUAGAACCCAAACUCCUGACUCUUGCAGGAAGUACUCUAAUUGCCUUGACUUACUCCUUUUCUGUCUCCCUGAUACUCAUCUCAUUGUCUUCUUGAGAACUGAUUCAUCUCUUACCCUAAUCAUAGUACUUUUUGGUAUUUUGUUUUGUUUUGAUUUUUUCUUUUUAUGGUGGUACCUGUGGCAAAUGGAAGUCCCUGGGCUAGGGGUCCAAUCAGAGCUGCAGCUGCCGACCUGCACCACAGCCACAGCAAUGCCAGAUCUAAGCUGCAUCUGUGACCUACAUCACAGCUUUCGAUAACCCUGGAUCCUUAACCCACCAAGUGAGGCCAGGGAUCGAACUUGCAUCUUCACGGACACUAUGUCGGGUUUUUAACCCACUGAAUCACAACAGGAACUCCAUUAAUAUAUUUUGCAAGGAAAGUUAUUUCAGCCAGCCUGGCACAGGAAAAGCAGACUAAUGUGAACAGCAGGUAAGCCUCUGAUCAGUAGCAGAGGUUAUUGGGUGGGAAAUGGGAUCAGCGGUUAUGAAUAGUUGGUAAUGGGCUUACCCUGUGAUCUCAGAGGUGAGUCAGGGCAGACAGGAGCAAAUGAUGAACAUUAUUGUCUAGCAGUAGGGGGAUGGGAGGGAAGCAAAUCCAAACAAGGAUAUUCCUAAAGCAUAAAUUCAGGGAGAAAGCUACCCAGUAGGCAGGUUGGAAUUCUAUUAAGAGAUUAAAGAAGAGAGAUAAUUCAAGGAAUUCUGCCAGAUACCUCCUGUACCUGAUACAAAGCACCUAUGUGUUUGUCACUGAUGCCUGUUGUCACUGCUCUUUAUCAGCUUUGUUAUUUACUUACUGUUUCUCCUAACCUCUUGGGUGCCAGGUGCUAAAUCCCAGCCAUACAUCAGUGCUCUAUCAUUACAAGUCAAGGUCUAUUUCUGGGAGUGACUGUGUGUCUGACCAAAGAGAUGAGUUAUCGAGGAAGAAGGCCUCCCUCGUCUAGGACACCAUUUUCUGGAAAAAAAUGAACAUCUGUAAGGACAGCCAGCUAGGCUGUUACAAGGCCUCCUCCUUCCAUCACCCCACAGGGAGUAAAUCUGGGCAGGGAAGGACCCAGCCAGAUGUGGAUGUCUGCAUGCUGCUGGGGCAACAUCCGUAAGUAUUUUGUAAACGUUUCUUCAGUCCCCCUUAGUGCAUUAAGGAAGUGCACUGGCUUGUAGUUGGCAAGGGGGAGGUGGGAAGGAAGGGGGAUGGGCUGGGAGUUUUGGGUUAAUAGAUGCAAACUAUUACAUUUAGAAUGCAUAAGCAAUGAGGUCCUUCAGUAUAGCGCAGGGAACUAUAUCCAAUCACUUCUGAUAGACCAAAGUGAAAUAUGAGAAAAAGAAUAUAUAUAUAUAUGUAUGACUGGGUCACUUUGCUAUAUAGCAGAAAUUGAUAGAACAUUGUAAAUCAACUGUACUUUAAUAAAAAAAAUUAUUAAAAGAAAAAAAA